GGUCAUUGGAAACUGUCCGAGAAGUGUCUGUGACUCUGUAUCAGAGUGAUGCCCGUGUCCGUAUUUUAGAGAGUUCAAGGUGUCAGUAUUAGAUAUAUGUCCGUUUUAGAGAAUACAUUUUUUUUAUCGAUCUUUUUAUCAUCUUUGACAUCUUUAAUAGAUGCAAUCAUCAUGCAAGUGUUAGGACAGCACGGUCCAGUUCUUCAAUUGCGAUCAGCAGGG